rnacentral:rRNA from 1 species
CACGUAGGGGGCAAGCGUUGUCCGGAUUUAUUGGGCGUAAAGAGCUCGUAGGCGGCUCGGUAAGUCGGGUGUGAAACCUCCAGGCUCAACCUGGAGACGCCACCUGAUACUGCUGUGGCUAGAGUCCGGUAGGGGAGCGUGGAAUUCCUGGUGUAGCGGUGAAAUGCGCAGAUAUCAGGAGGAACACCAGCGGCGAAGGCGGCGCUCUGGGCCGGAACUGACGCUGAGGAGCGAAAGCGUGGGUAGCAAACAGG